rnacentral:rRNA from 1 species
AGUGAACGCUGGCGGUAGGCCUAACGCAUGCAAGUCGAACGGCAGCACAGUAAGAGCUUGCUCUUACGGGUGGCGAGUGGCGGACGGGUGAGGAAUACAUCGGAAUCUACUUUUUCGUGGGGGAUAACGUAGGGAAACUUACGCUAAUACCGCAUACGACCUACGGGUGAAAGCAGGGGAUCUUCGGACCUUGCGCGAUUGAAUGAGCCGAUGUCGGAUUAGCUAGUUGGCGGGGUAAAGGCCCACCAAGGCGACGAUCCGUAGCUGGUCUGAGAGGAUGAUCAGCCACACUGGAACUGAGGCACGGUCCAGACUCCUACGGGAGGCAGCAGUGGGGAAUAUUGGACAAUGGGCGCAAGCCUGAUCCAGCCAUACCGCGUGGGUGAAGAAGGCCUUCGGGUUGUAAAGCCCUUUUGUUGGGAAAGAAAAGCAGCAGGUUAAUACCCCGCUGUUCUGACGGUACCCAAAGAAUAAGCACCGGCUAACUUCGUG